AGCGAACGCUGGCGGCAGGCCUAACACAUGCAAGUCGAACGAACUCUUCGGAGUUAGUGGCGGACGGGUGAGUAACACGUGGGAACGUGCCUUUUGGUUCGGAAUAACUCAGGGAAACUUGUGCUAAUACCGAAUGUGCCCUUCGGGGGAAAGAUUUAUCGCCAUUAGAGCGGCCCGCGUCUGAUUAGCUAGUUGGUGAGGUAACGGCGCACCAAGGCGACGAUCAGUAGCUGGUCUGAGAGGAUGACCAGCCACACUGGGACUGAGACACGGCCCAGACUCCUACAGGAAGCAGCAGUGGGGAAUCUUGCGCAAUGGGCGAAAGGCUGACGCAGCCAUGCCGCGUGAAUGAUGAAGGUCUUAGGAUUGUAAAAUUCUUUCACCGGGGACGAUAAUGACGGUACCCGGAGAAGAAGCCCCGGCUAACUUCGUG
rnacentral:rRNA from 1 species